rnacentral:rRNA from 1 species
CGGCGGACGGGUGAGUAACGCGUGGGUAACCUGCCUCAUACAGGGGGAUAACAGUUAGAAAUGACUGCUAAUACCGCAUAAGCACACAGUACCGCAUGGUACGGUGUGAAAAACUCCGGUGGUAUGAGAUGGACCCGCGUCUGAUUAGCUGGUUGGCGGGGUAACGGCCCACCAAGGCGACGAUCAGUAGCCGACCUGAGAGGGUGACCGGCCACAUUGGGACUGAGACACGGCCCAA